rnacentral:lncRNA from 1 species
GAUGAGUGGAUCUGGUUCAGAACAUCUGUGAACACAGAGGGAGUGGAAACUUCACUUUCAACAUCAUCAGCCAACUUCCCUCCCAUUACAAUUCUAUCUCAAGAUCAAGGUCAUGCAAGAAAACCAGCAGGCACUGCAAAUCAUCCUGAGAAAGACACAUGAAUUGAAGCUGAGGACUUGACAUGGAGUGGAAGGGAGUCAUGUUAGAAAUAUUCAUAAGGAGAAUCCACAAAACUAAGUAUGUGCCUGUAGGAACAGGUGAAUUGCUACGAGCAUUCAUUAUCAUCACAGCCACAAUGGCAGCUAACAGUGUUGUCAUGCUCCAUGUGCUUUGGCUGUGGUCUUCUUCUGCUGGAAUCCCCUCACUGCCCAGACAAUCUCAUCCAUCUUGCAGGUCAGCUGCACAGUCCGCUUCUCAGAAACCUUCCAAGUGCUAAGCAGCAGUUUCCUGCUUUCUCUACACAUUGCUGUUACAGCAAUUACUAAACUGUUGCAACUAUUUCGGAGAAAGGAGCUUCUGCUGUUUUAUGAUUAAAUAUUUUUGCUUUUUGAAAAGUAAAGGAAAUAAGUAACAACAAGCCAGGAAGCUCACGAAUAUAGUUGAGACCUCCUGAGUACAUCUCCCUGACCCCCUGUCCUACGAUGAUGUUUCCUUUUACCAUGUGUGUCCUUACACUUUAGUCUUCAUACUCACUUAUA